rnacentral:sRNA from 2 species
CGAUAUUCAGUAAUUGGGACAAUAUUCGGACUUAAUCAGUUCCGACAACACCACUUUAGUAUGCGGUUAUCGACCAUCGAAACGACAUUACAUCUCAAUUGGUGCAAACUAUACAAAACUCUAUGGAGAAAAAAUGAAACAUCUCUCACUUCUCUCUCUUUAUUAUAGAAAAACUAACUUUUCUGUGCAAAAUGCACUGUAACAUGACCUCACAUGAUACAAGUCAUGUGCUCAGAGCAAUCCUCGCCAGAGGGUUUUGAGAUUUUCAUAGAUUCUUCAAAUUUCUCAACUUUGACUUUCAAUUACACAAUAGUCAUAUAUCUUUGAGAUUUGUGAACCACCUUAGAUUGUAGCUAAAGAGAAGGAGAAUAUAAAUAUAUAAUUUUUAUAUUAAAAAAAUCAAUAUUUAAUAUAGAUGUAUCUUGUUGAAAAUGAUCACUUUAUUUCUUGUUGAAAUCAAGUAAAUAGCAAAUCCUUCACGUGUUAAAAAAAAAUGGGUUGACUUUGAGGUGAUACUUCAUAUCUAGGAAAUGGGAAUAUGAAAAUAAAAAUUGAUACCAUCGCGAGAACAUUGAUUUCUCUAGAUUCUAAGGUGGUAGUUUGCUAUCCUCACCCAUACAUAAGGUAUAGAGCAAAUCGUUCCCGUGUUGCUAACAAACUGGAACUGUUUUUGAUAUCCAUCUUGUGAUGAUAUGAAUAUCAGGUUGUACAGAUCACAGAGCUGGCUGUUCUAGAUAUCAUUGCUAGAUAUCCUCGCUGGAUAUCAUUACUAGAUAUCAUCAUCAAUAUAUACCAUUGGUAGAUAUCAUUCAUUCAAGCAGGCAGAUAAUAAGACAGAUAGACAGUCAGAUAGUCAUUUAAUAAGCCAGUAUUGUC